AUUGGCUCUUCUUUCUUUCACUCUACCUGAAGCCAAGAGAGACGCGGCAGCAAGAUCGUGAAGUUGAGACAUCGAGAGAUUGAUGGGGUUCUUGAGGAUUUCUGAAUCUGUUAUCAUAUUGACAGGGAAGAAUAAUGGUUGUUGUUGGUAAUUUGAAGUCAAGAAGAAAUCAGAAGAUUAGGGUUACUGUUGUUGCUGUUCUUCAUGGGUGUGAGGAGAUUGAGAGGGUUUGGCUGCGAUUUGAAGUCAAGAAGGAAACGCAAGUUAGGGUUGGAGUUAGUUUCGAAUUUGCAGUGGUAAUUCAAUUGAAUUUAUGGGUUGUCUUAGGUUCAGGGUUACAUCGAGAAUCAGUUGGUGUUACUCUGAAAUGGAGGAAUGGAUUUCGUAAUCAGAUGGAGAUUUUGAUAAGGAACUGAAGCUGUUGCAGCUGGGUAAGCAAUCACAGGGAGAAAAAUGGUGUCCUGAGCAGAUGGAGUUGCAGUUCAGAUGGCUUGAGCUCAUUACAGGGAAGUGUGUUGGUGUUUUUGAUGGAUUUUGGGGUUUCUGCUGAUGUUAUUAACAAGUUGGAUAUGGAGGAGAAAUUGGUUGUUAUUAUUGAGUUGAACUGAAGUGCACGGAAAAGUGGAGCACUGGUAGUGGUCUGGUACUGAAAUUCAAGAUGGAGGUAUUGUUUGUGCAGUGAUGGACUUGAGCAGAAAGGCUGGUGUGUGCAUUACAGAAGCUACAAAGGGUCAAUAUGAGUUGCUGGUAGAGAUUGUGAUGGAAAUGAGUAUGAGAAGUGGCUGUAAGCAAUGAUAUUUGAGAAUGUGCUAUUGUUAUGAUGCUGGAAAUUGCAGGGAGUAAUGAAUGGUGAACUGUAAUGGAAGCAUGUGAAGCUGAUGGUGGUCAUUACAGCUGAAAUGGAGCAAGGAAUGACGCUGAUGGGUUUCUGAAGCUGGGUAUAUUGUUGGUACUGGUGUUGCAGGUGCAGGAGAAUGAAUGCAAGGGUCAGUGAUGAGCUGAGAAGAUUCAGAAAUGGUAUUGAAUUUGAGUUGCAGAAUGAGUGGUUGUGCCUGAAGUAGAUGAAUGUCAAGGACAAGUACAAAUUACAGCAUCAGAUGGCAAGUACUGAGCUUGUUAAUGGAAAUGAAGUGCAGGUACUGGUGACAGUGAAGCUGCAGUUCAGUGAGGUGGUCAUGGGUUCAACCAGUUGCAGCUGCAAAUUUGUAAGAAGAGUGAGGGAUUAUAGGUUAUAAUGAUUGCAGUUGCAGUUGACUGAGCUUGAGAUGAAGCAUUGCAGGCAUUUGAGCAUUGCAGGAAAGGGUUGUUGGAUCUGUUGAUUGCAGCAUGUUGCUGCUAAUGCUGAGGAGUUGCUGGAGCUACAGGUGCAGCGAAGGUUGCUUACAAGAAGGGUUUAUGGUGCUGAUAAUGGAGGCCAGGGGUUCAGGUAGAGGAGCUUGUUGGUCGGUAUGAACUGCAGGAAGAACUAUAGUGGUGAUUAAAGUUGCAUGCGUUUUGGAGUCGUACGGAGCAAAAAAAGGAGCAAAAAGAAGAAGAAAUUACACAAUUUGAACAAGAAGGGCAUAAUUUUCAUUUCUGGGCAAACACUAUCUGGAGCCCAGCCAAGGUUGAGGGGCUACUAUUGGGUGGUCACAUCCCAGCUCAGUGGGUGCAAAUAGUUGUCCCACUUUUAUAACCCUAAAAUGAGUUUCUCCCAUUCAUUCGUUCCUACAUCUGAUAAUUGAGGAAAAAAAGGAGAAUGAAGAGCAGCAGCGACAGCAGUUAAAAUCGAGAUCGAAAUGAUAUUCAUAAUAGAAGAGCUUCAGGAGGAAUUGAAGUUGGAGAUUGAUGCAGACAUGAACUAUUGGUCGAAAGCCAAGAACAAAGAAGAAAUUGAUGAGGGUUAAGAUCGAGAAGGGAUUGCUGUGAAGAUCUCAGAGAAUGAUUGAUUGAAGAAUUCAAGCUAAUGGGUCUGCGGAUGAUUAGGGUUUCGAUUUGUAUUUGCAGCUAAUGGGUCUUAUGGUGGUUAAUCGAUUGUCGCUGUGAAUGACGCAAACGGAAAAUCAAGACAGGGAAGAAGAAGUUGUUGCUGAGGAGAGAAUCAGAUCGAAUUGAGGGUUUUCAAUCGAGAAGAGGAGAUAACAAGAUGAUUUUGGUGUUAACAGCAAGGAAUUGGAGGUGGGUUUGUGCCAAAUUUGAUAGUGAAGCAGAAAUAUGUGUUGAUUUCCUCAGGAAAGGGCAGAUGAACAAUUAGGGUUUCAGUUGAGAAGAAACUAGGUUCAGCAAAUGGGGAUCUGUAAUGGAUGAAGUCUGAACUGGAGAUGAGAAUUGAUUCUUGAGAAGUGGUGGCUGAGCUAGAUUGAGUCUGAGAUGCAAUGGAUGCAGCUGAGAUGUUCCUGCAACAAUUGAUUGUGAGCUGAAAUUGCAGGGAAGAGUAUGAGGCAACUGAAGCUGAGAUGAAACUGGGAGCUAUAGAAGAUGCAGUCAAGCCAUGGUGUUGGUUAGUUGUUGCAGGAAUUGAAUGCGUGGGUGUUACUGAAAACACAGAGAUGGAGCUUAUGAUUGUUUUGGUGCUGUGGCAAUGAAUUCAGAGUUUGCAGCUGUGCUUUGGUGGUAUUGCAGUGUUGCAGGGGUGUGUAGCUAUGACAGUGGAAUGUGGUAAGAGCUCAAAGAGGUGAUAGCAGUUGUGGUCCUGAGAUGAUGCAGUGAGAAUGCAGGAGUAGUCAGCUGGUCUUGCUGCUACUGUUGGUGCCAAUCGCAGUGACCAGCAUAUGGAGUUGAGCCUUGAGUAGAAUGCCAAAUGAUACAGGGAAGUGAUGCUUGUCUGUGUGCAAUGAGCAAAUCUGGAAAUCGCAGGUGCAGUUUUGGUGGAGUUAUCAAGCAAUGGAGAAAUGGGUAUUGGUGUUGUUGAAGCGGCGACUGAGAUGGAAUUGGAUUGGUCUGAGGUGGUUGUGAAUUUGAAUGGACUGCAACGUGUGAAGUGAUGCUGAUUGCCAAGGGUUAUGGAUGUAUGAGCUACAGUGAAUGCAGUGGAUGAUGCAGAUUGAGGCUAGUUAGGUGAUGGUUUUGCAGUUGGAAGUGGACUUGUUGGUACAGUGCUGAUGUUGAGCAGAUAUGUGCCAGGUGAUGUUGUUGGUGGUUCUUUGUUGAGGUGUAGCUGCAGUUGGUAACGGGAUGGUGAUUGUUGAGCAGUGUAGCAGUGCUGCACAACGGUUGUGCAGUAGAAGAGGAGCCAUUAUGCACAAUGAUUGUGCAGCAGUGGUAUGGCUGGACUGAGCUGUGUGAUGCACCAUCAUUGUGCAACACACAGUUCUGGCUUGGGCAAGACUCUGGCCUGACAAGUCAGUUCAGUUAGACUCUGACUCAGCUGAGUUAUUUGAGUCAGCUUCUGAAUCGGUCUGACUUUGACCGAUUUGACCGUGACCGGGCGGACUUUGCCGGUCACCUGAGACACUAUUCCGACGACUUUUCCGGCAAGUUCCGGCGACGUUUUUUGGGCAGAGUUUCUACAUGGGUUUUUCUCACUUUUGGGCCCAUGGAUUUUCAUCUAAUGGACUUUGAGGAUUAAACCUAAUUUUGGAACAAGAGAAGCAUAUAAAUAGAAAAUUCUUUCUCUAAA